rnacentral:rRNA from 1 species
AUUGAACGCUGGCGGCGGGCCUAACACAUGCAAGUCGAGCGGAUGAAGGGUGCUUGCUCCUGGAUUCAGCGGCGGACGGGUGAGUAAUGCAUAGGAAUCUGCCUGGCUGUGGGGGAUGACGUCCGGAAGCGAGCGCUGAUACUGCAUACGUCGUGCGGGAGAAAGUGGGGGAUCUUCGGACCUCACGCUCUCAGAUGAGCCUAGGUCGGAUUAGCUAGUUGGUGGGGUAAAGGCCUACCAAGGCGACGAUCCGUAACUGGUCUGAGAGGAUGAUCAGUCACCCUGGAACUGAGACACGGUCCAGACUCCUACGGGAGGCAGCAGUGGGGAAUAUUGGACAAUGGGCGAAAGCCUGAUCCAGCCAUCCCGCGUGUGUGGAAAAGGUCUUCGGAUUGUAAAGCCCUUUAAGUGGGGAGGAAGGGCAGUAAGUUAAUACCUUGCUGUUUUGACGGUACCAACAGAAGAAGCACCGGCUAACUUCGUG